CUUUGGCUGCUGCUUUUUGUGUGCCAGCCCCAUUUGCCCAGUCUGCCCGCCUCUGUGAUCCCCCGCAGCACUGGCUGGAAGUCCGCCGCGUGUCAGUGAGGAGCUGCUGCAGAAGGAAGAAGAAGAAGCGGCGUGGGACCUGGGAGGCAGGAGCAAGCAAGAAGAGGAAGCGGAAGCGUGCAGAUGCGGGGGGGAAGGAGAGAGGCUCCCUGGGCAAAGCACCUGUCCCGUUAGCAGGGGCACAGUCACGUUUGAGUUGAGAGCUGCCGGCGCCUUUGGUGACCAGGCUGGCGUUGUGCUGGGCGACCUCCCCGUAAGCGGGGCUCGGGUCUUUGCUGUAGUUGGCCUUUUGCCUUGCUGCUCCUUUGGCUGCCUGGGG
rnacentral:lncRNA from 1 species